rnacentral:rRNA from 1 species
GAACGGGUGAGUAAUACAUAAGUAACCUGCCCUAGACAGGGGGAUAACUAUUGGAAACGAUAGCUAAGACCGCAUAGGUACGGACACUGCAUGGUGACCGUAUUAAAAGUGCCUCAAAGCACUGGUAGAGGAUGGACUUAUGGCGCAUUAGCUGGUUGGCGGGGUAACGGCCCACCAAGGCGACGAUGCGUAGCCGACCUGAGAGGGUGACCGGCCACACUGGGACUGAGACACGGCCCAGACUCCUACGGGAGGCAGCAUG